CCAGGAACGUGCAUACAAAGAUUUUGAAGAAGAAAUAAUUAAAAUAAGGAGAAAAAAAUCAAUAAAAUAAAAAGAUAGGAUAAAAUAAGUUAAAAAAAGAAGAAAAAACCCAAGAGACAUUUUUUACGCAUCUUCUUCUUCCACCCCCACCCCAUCUCCCUUUUCCCUGUACCUUUUCUUCUUCGCCCUCACCAGCCACGAAUUUUCCUCAAUGACUUCUCUAUUCCAGCUUUAGGCCAAGGAAUUGGUGGACCUGAAAAUGCACAAAUAAACUUUAAAGUCACAGUAAAAAUUCUAACCAAGGUAUUUGGGUUUACUACUAUGCAAGUCAAGUGACAGUGUAUUAUCAAGAACAAGGUAUUGGAGGUUACCAAGUGUUGACACCAGAAAUCAACAGCCUAAGAACAGUACCAUUUUUGCUAGUAUGCUAAGCGGUUCAUCAUUGACAGUGCCUUUUUCGUUUUUCC
rnacentral:lncRNA from 1 species